UCAAACUUGGUCAUUUAGAGGAAGUAAAAGUCGUAACAAGGUCUCCGUUGGUGAACCAGCGGAGGGAUCAUUACCGAGUUUUCACAACUCCCAACCCUUGCGAACCGUACCCAAUUUAGUUCUCGUUGCUUUCGGCGGGCGGGAGGGGGGCGCCCGUAACACGGCGCCCUUUCCUCCCCUCGCCGGGGGCGGCGGGCUCUCUGAACCUUUAUUUUAAACAACUAGACCUUCUGAGAAAAAAAACAAAAAUAUAUCAAAACUUUCAACAACGGAUCUCUUGGCUCUGGCAUCGAUGAAGAACGCAGC
rnacentral:misc_RNA from 1 species